rnacentral:lncRNA from 1 species
GCGUGUUCUAGGGGAGUAGAGUUGUAUUUUGUAAAUUCAAAAACCAUUUUUGGCUUACACCACAAAUAGCUUUCAGGCUGAAGCCUACCCGCUGCAUCCCUGGGAAACCUCUUUAGGAUUUCAUUUCGGGGAUGGUAUAUAGCAAGAUCCAGGUGCUUGCUGCCCCGGAGCAGAUUGCUGUGGAAAUAAGACUUGCACCGUCUUUCAUCCUGUUUACAAGGUUUACCUACCGAGACCCUCGCUGCCCGCUCUGUUACUUCAGGCUUGAAACUGAAUUGACCCCAUUGCUAAAGAUGUAUCGUUCAGUUCUCAUUCUACUUGGCAUAUCUAAGAUCCCGCACAAAUCUUCAAACUGUGUCUUGGUAAGUAUUUCAUUUUAUAGUAUUUUCAUACAAUCAAGUGACCCUAA